rnacentral:rRNA from 1 species
AGUGAACGCUGGCGGUAGGCCUAACACAUGCAAGUCGAACGGCAGCACAGUAAGAGCUUGCUCUUACGGGUGGCGAGUGGCGGACGGGUGAGGAAUACAUCGGAAUCUACUUUUUCGUGGGGGAUAACGUAGGGAAACUUACGCUAAUACCGCAUACGACCUACGGGUGAAAGCAGGGGAUCUUCGGACCUUGCGCGAUUGAAUGAGCCGAUGUUGGAUUAGCUAGUUGGCGGGGUAAAGGCCCACCAAGGCGACGAUCCGUAGCUGGUCUGAGAGGAUGAUCAGCCUCACUGGAACUGAGACACGGUCCAGACUCCUACGGGAGGCAGCAGUGGGGAAUAUUGGACAAUGGGCGCAAGCCUGAUCCAGCCAUACCGCGUGGGUGAAGAAGGCCUUCGGGUUGUAAAGCCCUUUUGUUGGGAAAGAAAAGCAGCAGGUUAAUACCCCGCUGUUCUGACGGUACCCAAAGAAUAAGCACCGGCUAACUUCGUG